rnacentral:rRNA from 1 species
UACGGAGGGUGCGAGCGUUAAUCGGAAUUACUGGGCGUAAAGGGUGCGUAGGUGGUUAAUUAAGUUAUCUGUGAAAUUCCUGGGCUCAACCUGGGCAUGUCAGAUAAUACUGAUUGACUUGAGUAUAGGAGAGGGUAGUGGAAUUUCCGGUGUAGCGGUGAAAUGCGUAGAGAUCGGAAGGAACACCGGUGGCGAAGGCGGCUACCUGGCCUGAUACUGACACUGAGGCACGAAAGCGUGGGGAGCGAACAGG